rnacentral:rRNA from 1 species
AUUAUCGAAGAGCUCCUCGACGAACUCCACGGUGCAGCCUGGUUUUCUAAGCUGGAUCUCCGCGCAGGCUAUCAUCAGAUUCGGUUGGCUCCUGGAGAGGAGUACAAGACCGCCUUUCAAACCCACCAAGGCCAUUUUGAAUUCAAAGUAGUCUCAUUCGUACUCGUAGGAGGCCCAACUACUUUCAUUGGAGCCAUCACAACAACGCUCAAGCCGCUCAACCGUGUGUGUGUGCUGUCAUUUUUCGACGACAUCCUCGUCUUCAGAAAAUCACUCCAAGAGCAUGUCGAGCACUUGCGCCAAGUACUCACACUCCUUCGCAAAGAUAACUGGAAAGUUAAACUCAGCAAGUGCGCUUUUGGGCAACAA